rnacentral:lncRNA from 1 species
AUAGAAAUGAGGAAAAUAUUAGAGAAUCAAUAAUAUCUUCUAAAGAACCUGAAACAUUGUUAAAAGAAGAGCUUCCACAUCUAACAGGAGAUCCAUUAUAUUGUUGUAAAACAUGUAGUAAAGGCUGCUCAUCUAGGCAAGACUUGGAGACACAUAUGAAAUGUCACAACCAAAUUUUUACAUGUAAAUUGUGUUCACAACAGUGCAGUAGUGAUAUACAACUAAAUAUUCACAUGCGAACACAC